rnacentral:rRNA from 1 species
AUUGAACGCUGGCGGCAGGCCUAACACAUGCAAGUCGAGCGGAGCGUCGGACGCGUGAGUAUUGCCUAGGAAUCUGCCUCCUAGUGGGGGAUAACGUCCGGAAACGGGCGCUACUACCGCAUACUAUCACACUAGCCUUGGUCGGAUGCGCUAGUUGGUGGGGUAAAGGCCUACCAAGGCGACGAUCCGUAACUGGUCUGAGGGUAUGAUCAGUCAAACUGGAAAUGGGACACGGUCCAGACUCCUACGGGAGGCAGCAGUGGGGAAUAUUGGACAAUGGGCGAAAGCCUGAUCCAGCCAUGCCGCGGGUGUGAAGAAGGUCUUCGGAUUGUAAAGCACUUUAAGUUGGGAGGCGUUACCAACAGAAUAAGCACCGGCUAACUACGUGCCAGCAGCCGCGGUAAUUC